GGGCUGGGAUUUACAUCAUCAGUUCCUGGGCUUUGGGAGUGGGACUGGACUGGAAUUACACCACUGGUUUUUCUGGAUCUCUGUAAUGAAUCUUUUAUUUACCGGGAUUAGGCAAACAUUUUCCUAAAUAUGACACCAAUGUUUUUAAAUGUCACUGUUCAAAGACACUGUUAAAAAAUAAAUGUACAAUAAAAGACUAAGAAAAUCUCUACAAAUAAUAUCUGAAAAGGGAAUAUAUAUAUACACACAUAUUCUCAAAACUCAAUAAUGAUAAGAAACAAGUAAUUCAAUUUCUAAUAAUGGCAUAGAUUUCAACAGACGCUUCACCAAAAUGAUAACGUGGAUGGCAAAUAAACACAUAAAAUGAAACUACAUUAUUAAGCAUCAGAUAAAGUAAAUUAAAAGUCUAAUGAGGUUUCACAACAGAUGUAUGGAAAUGGCAAAGAAAAGACUGGUCAUACUAUGUGUUUGCAAAGAUAUAAAAUUACUAGGGCUACACUAUACCGAUGGUAUUAAUGAAAUACGAUACAUUCACUUUGGAAAAUAGUUUGGCAGUUUCUAAAGCAGUACAAUAUAUAUCUAACUAUUCACAUAUGAUCCAGCCAUCCAGCCCCUAGGUAUUUGCCUAAGAGAAAUUAAAUCAUGUGUGCAUACAAAGACUUGUAAUAAAUAUUAAUAGCAGCUUUAUACAUAAUAAACAAACAUUUGAAACCAUCAAAAUGUUCAUCAAUAGAUGAAUGAAUAAACAAAUCAUAGUACAUCCACACAAUAGAACACUACUCACCAGUAAAAUAAUGAAUUAUUGAUACAGGUUUCAACCUGGUUGAAACUCAAAAUAAAUAUAUGGAGAGCACAAUCUACCAUCAACUUCAUAACUUCCUGUAGAUUUUGGCCCAUUUUCUGUGGUUAAUGAGACAUUUCACAGAGGGUCCCAUCUAUUAUGACCUUUCUCUUUUCUAAAGACAGGAGACACAUCGGUGUUCCUGGGAGCUACAGGUGAGUUGUAAAACUCUUCCACACUUAUUAGAUCAAUUGUUUACUAGUAUUUGUUUAAAAUCAAAGGUAUAAAUAUCAUCCAAGCUUCUGACAAGAUUCAUGUUCUCUUGCGUAGAGAGAUUCUCAGUUUCUAUUUGCAGUGAGUUCCUUGAUAAAUUCUGAUUUGGGAGGAGACAGAUAAAUGACAACUAGCCUUAAGAGAAAGACAAAAGAGGAGGCUUACGCUUCUAAUCCCAGCACUUUGGGAGGCCGAGACGGGUGGAUCACGAGGUCAGGAGAUUGAGACCACGGUGAAAUCCCGUCUCUACUAAAAAUACAAACAAUUAGCCUGGCGUGGUGGAGGGCGCCUGUAGUCCCAGCUACUCCGAGAGGCGGAGGCAGGAGAAUGGCGUGAACCCGGGAGGCUGAGCUUGCAGUGAGCCGAGAUCGCCCCACUGCACUCCAGCCUGGGCGACAGAGUGAGACUCCGUCUCAAAAGAAAAAAAAAAAAAAAA
rnacentral:lncRNA from 1 species